rnacentral:lncRNA from 1 species
AAAACUAUUAACGUUCUUGGUUGUUUUCCUUAGUUUUUUUUUUAGGUUUAGAGUUUGUUAUGGCUGAUUACAAAUUACUUUGCAAGCUCACUUCCUAUUUUCAUUCUUUUUAUUAGUCUGGUUUGCAGUAGAUUUUUCCGUUUGAUUUAUCUUCAAAAUCUUCUUUUUAUACACUGCAAAUCUUACAUAUGCAUCGUUCUCUUCAUCUCUUCUCCUAAAAUUUUCUCCAGCUAGAAUGAUAAUACCAAGAUCUUUUUUUCAAAUCAUAUAUAAUCUGAUAUUCGUUCCACUAUAACAUGAAGGAUAUUAAUGACGUAUGCAACCUCUCUUGCACCAAUAUCAGCUUCACAUGUCAUA